rnacentral:rRNA from 1 species
UGGGGAAUAUUGCACAAUGGGGGAAACCCUGAUGCAGCGACGCCGCGUGAACGAAGAAGGUAUUCGUAUCGUAAAGUUCUGUCCUAUGGGAAGAUAAUGACAGUACCAUAGAAGAAAGCUCCGGCUAAAUACGUGCCAGCAGCCGCGGUAAUACGUAUGGAGCGAGCGUUGUCCGGAAUUAUUGGGCGUAAAGGGUACGCAGGCGGUUUAAUAAGUCGAAUCUUAAAGAUCGGGGCUCAACCCCGUAAAGCAUUGGAAACUGAUAAACUUGAGUAGUGGAGAGGAAAGUGGAAUUCCUAGUGUAGUGGUGAAAUACGUAGAUAUUAGGAGGAAUACCAGUAGCGAAGGCGACUUUCUGGACACAAACUGACGCUGAGGUACGAAAGCGUGGGGAGCAAACAGG